rnacentral:rRNA from 1 species
UGGGGAAUCUUCCGCAAUGGGGCGAAAGCCUGACGGAGCAACGCCGCGUGAGUGAAGAAGGUUUUCGGAUCGUAAAGCUCUGUUGUCAGGGACGAGAGAGUCUGUCAGGAAAUGGGCAGGCUAGGACGGUACCUGGCGAGAAAGCCACGGCUAACUACGUGCCAGCAGCCGCGGUAAUACGUAGGUGGCGAGCGUUGUCCGGAAUUAUUGGGCGUAAAGGGAGCGCAGGCGGGAGAUCAAGUCUAUCUUAAAAGUGCGGGGCUCAACCCCGUGAGGGGAUGGAAACUGGUCUUCUUGAGUGCAGGAGAGGAAAGCGGAAUUCCUAGUGUAGCGGUGAAAUGCGUAGAUAUUAGGAGGAACACCAGUGGCGAAGGCGGCUUUCUGGACUGUAACUGACGCUGAGGCUCGAAAGC